GUUUUCUAGACCAAUAUAUUGCUGUAUAUUUUGCCCUACUUCUUUUUCCAGUGGAAAAUGGAGAAGAAUGUAGUGCAGGAUAUCAUGCAAACUUUCUCUGUUUAGCUGUGUGAUGUUAAUAUUUUAUUUCAGUUAUUUACAGUGUAUAAACUUGGAGCUCAAUGAGGUAAAUGGGGAAGCUGGAAUUCACAAACAUCACUGCAAAUCCCAUCAACAGUUAAAGACAACAGGUCUGAAACGCUCCUCAGUGUGUAUGAAACUGACUGUGCAAACACUAAACAGUCACUUUGGGUAAAAUGACAUUUGCAACUUAGAGGCAAGGAUAGUUACAGAAAUUAUUCCAUUUGAGCAAAUUCACCUUUACCAGAAAGACCCUACUGAGUCAUUUGAAACUUCAUAUCUGACAAGGGAGUGGGAAAACCAGCUAAGAGCACCCUGAAGCAACCAGGAUCUCUUGGUCAAGUGCAAGAGCUGGGUUGUAACAACAAAAGGGGCUGCUACGUGGCAACUGAUGAGAAGCAGGAGCGUGUUUGGCUUACAGCAGCACUAAAGUAAACAGGAAAUUGCACACAGAAUCUGACCCUCCCUUCAGCCUGUUUUUUGAAGAAUUAGCAGAUUCUUGUCUCUGAGCAUAAGGCAGUUUUUUCAGCCUUCCAUUCAUCUUGGUGGCUCUUUGCUGCAGGCUCCGUACCCUUUCAAGUCCCCGUGAAAAUCAGGAUACCAGAAUUACUUGCUGGUGUCUAUGUUGACAACUGAGCUAAAUUUAAUUUUCUGCUCCUCUGAUUAUAUACCCAGGAUCUAGGCUGCUGGCACUGCCCCAGGUAACUGCUGCUCCUUGUCUGGUGUCACCUCUCAAGCUGCCAUAAGGGAGUUGUUGUUCCUGAAGAUCCUGUUGCCUACCCCAUGACGAUGGCCUGGCUUUUGUCUUGUUGUGGUUCUUUGAUGUGCAACCUCAUUUGGCUAUGGCAUCACAGCACAUUUUGGCUGUAACCCCACACCCGAUGGAGGGCACACCCAGAACUGCUCAUGGAUUCUCCAGUCUGGAGAUGAGGGUUGAAGCACAGGUUCACUGAGUGAUGGAAGUUGUUCUGCAUCACUGUCCCUUCCUCAUCAUUGUGAACCUCUUCAUCAUUUAUCCGUGUUGCUAGAAAUAAUUUUUAUAUACUUCUCAGCUGAGAAAGUUCAACUCUAAUAUAAAUACCUGCAAAACAAUACUGGAAAUGACCCCUUGGCAAAUAAUUUAAUAGUUUAAGGCAUUUAGUGUGUUGUAUUGGUAGCUCUCACCCAUGUGUCACACAGGACUCCUUUAAGGAGAAUCCAAGCAUAUCUCUUCUUCUGUCAAGCUGCUUUAUCAUGCAAACUGGUAAUCCUGUCAAGAAAGGAAAUCAGAUUUUUUUACAAACAGAUUGAUUUUCCAUAAAGCUAUGUGGAUCAGCAUUAAUUAAACUCUCUGACUCUGCUUCCUCUUCCAUUUUCAAGGCCUUUUGUUAUUUUUUAUUUGCUAAUGUCAGGCUCAAUAGCUGAAGUUAGGCUGCUGCUGACACAGAAUCAGCAUGUUCCCACGCUUCUGGGAUUUGCAUGGUGCUCUGAGAUCUCUACAAAAUUACUAUCAGAAAAGGUCAUUUUUCUUUUUUGCUAACACUAAUCAAAACUCUCACUCGUCUUGAAUAGCUUGCCAUCUCCCUCUAGCAAUUGGAUGGUAUCACAGAUAGUAUUUUGCUACUGGUAGAUGGAAAACAGGCUAUCCUGCUUCUCAGCAGAGCCAUCCAGCACAGCACCCUGUCACCAGCAGUGCACGAAAGCAAUUGCUGAGGAAAGCUGAUAAGCACAGGUGAACAGCCCCAAGUGCUCUGCCAACAGCCAGCCACAAUACUCAUACUUUCUCUUGUAUUGCUACACAGUGUAUUUUCUAAUUUGUAUUACUUGCCUUUACAAUCCCUACAUUCACUAUUAUGUGUAUGUCCAUAGGUGUAUACAAUCUCAC
rnacentral:lncRNA from 1 species